UACGUAGGGUGCGAGCGUUAAUCGGAAUUACUGGGCGUAAAGCGUGCGUAGGCGGUUCGUUAAGUCUGUCGUGAAAGCCCUGGGCUCAACCUGGGAAUUGCGAUGGAUACUGGCGAGCUAGAGUACGGUAGAGGAUGGUGGAAUUCCCGGUGUAGCGGUGAAAUGCGUAGAGAUCGGGAGGAACACCCGUGGCGAAGGCGGCCAUCUGGACCAGUGACUGACGCUGAGGCACGAAAGCGUGGGGAGCAACAGG
rnacentral:rRNA from 1 species